AUUGAACGCUGGCGGCAUGCCUUACACAUGCAAGUCGAACGGCAGCACGGGGGCAACCCUGGUGGCGAGUGGCGAACGGGUGAGUAAUACAUCGGAACGUGUCCUGUAGUGGGGGAUAGCCCGGCGAAAGCCGGAUUAAUACCGCAUACGCUCUACGGAGGAAAGGGGGGGAUCUUAGGACCUCUCGCUACAGGGGCGGCCGAUGGCAGAUUAGCUAGUUGGUGGGGUAAAGGCCUACCAAGGCGACGAUCUGUAGCUGGUCUGAGAGGACGACCAGCCACACUGGGACUGAGACACGGCCCAGACUCCUACGGGAGGCAGCAGUGGGGAAUUUUGGACAAUGGGCGCAAGCCUGAUCUAGCAAUGCCGCGUGUGUGAAGAAGGCCUUCGGGUUGUAAAGCACUUUUGUCCGGAAAGAAAACUUCUGCCCUAAUACGGCGGGAGGAUGACG
rnacentral:rRNA from 1 species